GGUGCUGUGGCUCAGUGGCAGAGCAUCUGCUUAGCACGCAGGAGGUCCCAAGUUCAAUCCCUGGCAACGCCA